GCGAGCUCAGUUGGCAGAGUACAAGAUUUUUAAUCUCACGGUUGUGGGUGCAAGCCCCAUGUUGGGCG